UACGUAGGGGGCUAGCGUUGUCCGGAAUCAUUGGGCGUAAAGCGCGCGUAGGCGGUCAGGUAAGUCCGGUGUGAAAGUCAUAGGCUCAACCUAUGGAUGCCGCUGGAAACUGCCUGACUUGAGUCCGGAAGGGGCGAGUGGAAUUCCCGGUGUAGCGGUGAAAUGCGCAGAUAUCGGGAGGAACACCAAUGGCGAAGGCAGCUCGCUGGGACGUUACUGACGCUGAGACGCGAAAGCGUGGGGAGCAAACAGG
rnacentral:rRNA from 1 species